rnacentral:tRNA from 1 species
UCCCUGGUGGUUUAGAUAGUAAAGAACCUGCCUGCAAUGCAGGAGACCCAGGUUAGAUUGCUGGGUAGGGAA